UACUGAGGUCUCAAGCGUUGUUCGGAUUCAUUGGGCGUAAAGGGUGCGUAGGCGGCGAGGUAAGUCGGAUGUGAAAUCCCGGGGCUCAACCCCGGAACUGCAUUCGAUACUGCCUUGCUCGAGUACUGGAGAGGAGACUGGAAUUUACGGUGUAGCAGUGAAAUGCGUAGAUAUCGUAAGGAAGACCAGUGGCGAAGGCGAGUCUCUGGACAGUUACUGACGCUGAGGCACGAAGGCCAGGGGAGCAAACGGG
rnacentral:rRNA from 1 species